rnacentral:rRNA from 1 species
UUGUGGUUAAAAAGCUCGUAGUUGGAUCUCGGCGGACUGAGGGCGGAUUGCUUGCUAGUAUUACUGCCCUAUAGUCCGUAGUUUUGCCAGAGGUUUCGGGGUGCUCUUAAUCGAGUGUCCCGGGAUGCUGGCAGGUUUACUUUGAAAAAAUUAGAGUGCUCAAAGCAGGCUAUUACGCCUGAAUAUUCGUGCAUGGAAUAAUAGAAUAGGAAGUCGUUUCUAUUUUGUUGGUUUUCGGAAAUCGACUUAAUGAUUAAUAGGGACAGUCGGGGGCAUUUGUAUUCAAACGACAGAGGUGAAAUUCUUGGACCGUUUGAAGACAAACUACUGCGAAAGCAUUUGCCAAGAAUGUUUUCAUUAAUCAAGAACGAAAGUUAGAGGUUCGAAGGCGAUUAGAUACCGCCCUAGUUCUAACCAUAAACGAUGCCAGCUAGCGAUCUGAGGACGUUUUUUUUGUAGACUCCUCAGGAAGCUUCCGGGAAACCAAAGCGUGUGGGUUCCGGGGGAAGUAUGGUUG